UUAACAGAUGGGGAAACAAAGGCCUAGAGGG
rnacentral:piRNA from 1 species